rnacentral:rRNA from 1 species
UUUUUUACAAAUAAUUUAAAAUAAAACCUGCUCAAUGAAUAUUUAAAUAGCCGCAGUAAUUUAACUGUGCUAAGGUAGCAUAAUCAUUAGUCUCUUAAUUAGGGACCAGAAUGAACGGUUUAACAUUCUUUUCACUUUUUUAAAUAUAUUUAUAUAAAUUAUACUAAAUAUAAAAAUAUAUUUAUUUAAAAACUAGACGACAAGACCCUUUCAAACUUUACUUAAGUUAAGCUGGGGAAGCUAUUUAAUUAAAAUCUUAAAAAAUUAAUAAAUAAACAGAACUAAAAAAACUAAUUUUUUGAAAAAGUUACUGAAGGGAUAACAGCAUAAUAUAUUUAUAUAGCUCGUAUUUAAAAAUUAGUUUAUGACCUCGAUGUUGAAUUAUUUUACUUUUAAGCGCAAGAGUCUAAAAAGUAGGUCUGUUCGACCUUUAAAUAUUU